UACGACUAUAUCAGUAGUGUUUUAACUUCCAAAGGCAAUUGAAGUGUUUAGAGUGUAUUGCCAGCGUGUCAUGAAGCUACAAGUGUUGUGUUUGUGCGCGCUGCUCUGCGCUGUGGCGUGUCGCAGUCUGGACGAGGGGAGGCAGGGACACAUCCUCACCCAGCAGCCUGAUGACGGUGUCGUCAAAAGGAGAGCGAAAAUAGCUUUUACUCUCAUAGAUUCUGUUCAUUGUCCUGGCGGAAAUAUAUUUAUUUCUGGAUAUUGUAUAGACUGUGCCGAGUACGAAGAGGUGACGGGAGAAAAAUGUCCGACUCAAUCCUAACCGAGAUCCGCGAUGACGACGUCAUCCUGGCCUCCAGGUGGACCCGACGAGGAGUUUUGACAACCUAACAAAUGAUUUCCAUAAUUGACUUUUGACAAAAAUAUUUCUUGUUCUCAAAUCUUGCAAAUGCUGUAUAUUUUUUUGGUCAAUAUAACAUAACAUUGGACAUUACCAUUGUUCUAAAUAUUAAAUAUGUUGAGGGCAAGAAGCCUGUUGAUUGUUGAUUUAUCCCGAAAGGUAAAUAAAGGAAGAACCAUGAAUUGUCUUUUCUAAUUUUUAGAGUGAAAAAUUUAUAUUUCAUUUUUGCAACAUUAAUAAAAACAAACAGAGGACAUUGUAAUAGUAAGCCAGCGUUAUGUUACAAAUAAUUUUGUAGCACUGAAAUAAUUGUCAAUUAAUGUUUUAUUUCUUUUAAAAUAUAAGCAUCACUUAAUUAGGGGUACCCUAUCUGUUACUAACAAUUUAUUAUAAACACUUAUUAUUAUAUUUAUUUACAUUUUGAACCAAAACAUGUUUAUCUGUGCGAAAUAAACGUAUUCCAUAAUUAAUAUUUUGUACUAAAAUAUUUGCAAUAAAUAUAUGAAAAAAUCCAA